UCUUGUCCAGUUACUGUAACUAUCACCAGUCAAAGGAAUUGACCUACGUGGACUCAGUGGGCAGCUGCAGGCUGCUCAAGGUUCUAUGGACAUUACAUUCGUAGUUCUCAUACGAGAAAAUAUCUCGCAAAAGCAACAUGAGAAAGGACUUCUUUGGGCUUACCAUUUAAGAGAGGGUCCUUUGCAAUGUGACAGAAGACAUGGCCCAGGAGUGGGAGAUCAUCCAUCAGUUUGCAUCUGCCAUGAGAUACAGCGAGAUGAGAAACCUUCGGACGCCUGAGCUGGCUGGCCUUAAGGGAAGUGGAGGCCUGGGCUUGAUGCUCUCCAAGGUUCUGAAAAGUAAGGUUUGAAAUUUAAAUUUCGACUGCCCUUGGAAA